UUUAAGUUACCAUCCAGGACAGUAAAAGCUAUGCAUUUCCCCAAAUGUUUACUAAUAUUUUAAGUUUGUGCUGUUUUUCCACAUUAAAGAAAGCAGUACAUCGUGUUGAAUCCAAAGACGACCACGUGAUCAUGUAUCUUCAAGAGAUCCAAAAGAACAUGUUCCUUCGCCAAACACUACGUAUUAAACAAAUCUUCUCAGUUAAAAACCUCAAGCCAGCAGUUGUAAAAGUCUAUGAUUAUUACCAGACCAGUGAGCGAUCUGAAGCAGAAUACUUUAAUCACAGUGCCUGAGGAAGGAUGCCACAGAAGAGACAACGGAUGUCUUCACACCAAUGCAGUGUAUAACUUUAGGUUAUUAAAUUGAAUUGGCAUGUAUAGUUAUGCAGCUGAAAGCUUUCAUUUUCGUAUUGUCUUGUAGGUUCCCAGUUAUUUCAUGCAUGUUUAGGGCUUUUCAUUUGUGUUUUAUCAUUAUAAAGCACAUAAAUAUUGAGAUGUAUGUAAGCCUUAGCUCAUAGAGGCAUUAUUAUUUUAGAGAAAUAUUAUGCUUGUUAGUCAUUAACUUUUAAUAACACAUUAUCUUUAUAGCAAAUAUAAUUGUUUUGAUUGCUGUUGACCUAUUCUCUGUUAGUGUCAUUAUGAAUAGAUUACUCUAUAUUUGUGAAAAGAGCAAACAAAGAUUGAAAAAAGUUCAGUAAAUUUGCCAAGUACCCUUUAGUGUUCUUUUAGAUGAUAUCAAAUAACAAUAUCUCCACAACAUCACUCAAUCAAAUAAAUAUGAAAUGAA